rnacentral:miRNA from 1 species
GAUUUUUUUGUUUUCUUUUU